UGAAGAGUUUGAUCAUGGCUCAGAUUGAACGCUGGCGGCAGGCCUAACACAUGCAAGUCGAACGGUAACAGGAAGCAGCUUGCUGUUUUGCUGACGAGUGGCGGACGGGUGAGUAAUGUCUGGGAAACUGCCUGAUGGAGGGGGAUAACUACUGGAAACGGUAGCUAAUACCGCAUAACGUCGCAAGACCAAAGAGGGGGACCUUAGGGCCUCUUGCCAUCGGAUGUGCCCAGAUGGGAUUAGCUAGUAGGUGGGGUAACGGCUCACCUAGGCGACGAUCCCUAGCUGGUCUGAGAGGAUGACCAGCCACACUGGAACUGAGACACGGUCCAGACUCCUACGGGAGGCAGCAGUGGGGAAUAUUGCACAAUGGGCGCAAGCCUGAUGCAGCCAUGCCGCGUGUAUGAAGAAGGCCUUCGGGUUGUAAAGUACUUUCAGCGGGGAGGAAGGGAGUAAAGUUAAUACCUUUGCUCAUUGACGUUACCCGCAGAAGAAGCACCGGCUAACUCCGUGCCAGCAGCCGCGGUAAUACGGAGGGUGCAAGCGUUAAUCGGAAUUACUGGGCGUAAAGCGCACGCAGGCGGUUUGUUAAGUCAGAUGUGAAAUCCCCGGGCUCAACCUGGGAACUGCAUCUGAUACUGGCAAGCUUGAGUCUCGUAGAGGGGGGUAGAAUUCCAGGUGUAGCGGUGAAAUGCGUAGAGAUCUGGAGGAAUACCGGUGGCGAAGGCGGCCCCCUGGACGAAGACUGACGCUCAGGUGCGAAAGCGUGGGGAGCAAACAGGAUUAGAUACCCUGGUAGUCCACGCCGUAAACGAUGUCGACUUGGAGGUUGUGCCCUUGAGGCGUGGCUUCCGGAGCUAACGCGUUAAGUCGACCGCCUGGGGAGUACGGCCGCAAGGUUAAAACUCAAAUGAAUUGACGGGGGCCCGCACAAGCGGUGGAGCAUGUGGUUUAAUUCGAUGCAACGCGAAGAACCUUACCUGGUCUUGACAUCCACGGAAGUUUUCAGAGAUGAGAAUGUGCCUUCGGGAACCGUGAGACAGGUGCUGCAUGGCUGUCGUCAGCUCGUGUUGUGAAAUGUUGGGUUAAGUCCCGCAACGAGCGCAACCCUUAUCCUUUGUUGCCAGCGGUCCGGCCGGGAACUCAAAGGAGACUGCCAGUGAUAAACUGGAGGAAGGUGGGGAUGACGUCAAGUCAUCAUGGCCCUUACGACCAGGGCUACACACGUGCUACAAUGGCGCAUACAAAGAGAAGCGACCUCGCGAGAGCAAGCGGACCUCAUAAAGUGCGUCGUAGUCCGGAUUGGAGUCUGCAACUCGACUCCAUGAAGUCGGAAUCGCUAGUAAUCGUGGAUCAGAAUGCCACGGUGAAUACGUUCCCGGGCCUUGUACACACCGCCCGUCACACCAUGGGAGUGGGUUGCAAAAGAAGUAGGUAGCUUAACCUUCGGGAGGGCGCUUACCACUUUGUGAUUCAUGACUGGGGUGAAGUCGUAACAAGGUAACCGUAGGGGAACCUGCGGUUGGAUCACCUCCUUA
rnacentral:rRNA from 1 species